UCUAUUAUUCUGUCUCCAAGGAGACCUCAUAGUGUCCUUACAGUACUUAAAGGGGGCUACAGGAAAGAUGGGGAGGGACUCUUCAUCAGGCAGUAUAGGGAUAGGACGAAGUUUUAAACUCAAAGAGGGUAGAUUUAGAUUAGAUGUAAAGAAUAAAUUCUUUCC